UUUACUUUGGGGCUCCCCCAGCUGCGGGCUGUCAGUCCAAAACAGUUAUGUUCUGGAGGAUGGAUCAUGCAGGUGAGGGUGGAGCUGGGAGCAGUGCAUCCUGGGAUUCUGGAGGAUUGCUUCCAACUCAAACUGGUUUUGUGAACCAGUCUAAUUUACUACAACAUGUACUACGGAAGACAAGCUAAAAAAUAAUCCUCACCUGAAGAGGAUUCUCCCUGAGACGCAUAGAGCCCACUUGGCUCAUCUUACCCUGCCAUAACCAGCAGACACUCCCAUCUUAAGAGACAUAAAAUAUGGCAAAGAUAAGAUGUCACAACACCCUUAAGCUUUCUGUCCUGGACCUCCUGAAUACCCAUAGCUGUUCUAAAGUCACAAGGAGUUGCUGGUGUUCAGUGGCCAAGAAUUUCAAAAGUGACUACCAGGUGCCAAACUUUUAAAGAGGCUUGACUCUCUAAAACUCCUGAACAUUCACCUUAUAUAAUUCAUCUUCUUUAAGAGGUCUUAAGCUAAGCACCCAAAUAUGACACUAAUCACUUUCCACAGUCUUUGCUAACACCCCUAAAGUUCAAGCCCUUAGUGUCUCUGUCUCGGUGUGGGAAAACUGAUAGUCCAUGUCUGGAGACAGUAUUGCAAAUCUUUGUGUCUGAAAGUCUUAGAGAGAGACUCACUUCUCCACUCCCUCUUUUGUUCCCUCCUGAAAAUUGAGCUUUUCCCAUAACUUCUGCCAGAUGAAACAUGCUUCCUGCAGUUCUUGCUCUGCUUAUCUUCUAUUUUCUUAAUGUUCUUUUAUCCCCUCACAUUUCUCACCAUCUUUAGGUUAACCGCUUUAUAUAAUUAGGCAAUCAAGGAUGCACUUUGUAUGAAAGCAGCAAUACAGAAAAUAAAAUACUAUUACCUGCUUAUUAUUAACCAAAUUAUUUAAGAUGGUUGAGUCUGCUGUUAGACUUUUAGGGUUUCUCUUUGGCAUUUCCUGUUUUCAUGUCUGCACCUUUUUCUCAGUUUUCAGGCAUACCAGAAACAUGGGAGAUAGGACAGUGGGACUUUUGGAACCAGAUCUCAGAUUGUGGGAGUGGAAGGCUUUGGUCUGAGAAAGCAAUUUGAGGUGGAGAAAUCGAACUUUGUACUUCUGGAGUUUGCUUUUAAGUAAGAUGGCUACUUAACAGUUCUCGUGUUUUGAACUUACACAAAAUACCAUUAUUUCUCCUCUUUUCCCAACCGCAUUCAGCUUGGUAUAUCUAGACUAUCUGUAGAGCAUUUGUAUUUGUUUGGGGCACACUUUUGAUAUCUUGGGAUAAUUCUAUUAUAUUACUUUUAUGUAAGGACAUUCAUAGCUGAAUAUUUCCAGAAAAUAAUCUACAGUGCUUAAGUAUUAACUGUGAAGAAAAAUGACUGGCAUAAUUUAUCUGUAAAUAAAAACAAUGUUGUUACAUCAUUACUCUAAAUUAGAAUUUACAAGGAACAGAUGUCUUUCAGUGAGCAUGAGUGUAAAUUCAGCAGGGUUUCCAAUUUAGCCCAGCAAAUGAUGACAUAGAAAUUUAUUGCAAACAGAGGGAUGACUGGCUCUGCAUAAUAGUUAUGAAGAUUAUGCCUUUCCCACAAAGCAGUACAAGAUGUUUUCUUUCCUAAGUUUCCAGGGAGACAGUCACAAUCCAGUAGGGGUUACUGUUGUUCUGAAUAAAGCUCUUCAGAAUUUUGUAGUUUUAGCAAUUUUUAAGAUCACAAAUCAUGAGGACAGCAUAUAUCUCAUACAAUAGGAUUUGAAAAAUGAGUUGAAGUACCAUUCACUGACUUGACCUAUUUUUUUUUAAAUCACAACCUUGUAGGACACAAACUUAGACUGGAUGAUUCUGAUACUUCUACUCAGCCAGAAUCAUUAUCUUAACCUCAGGCACAAACUCAGCCAUUAUUUGAAUAUUAAAUCCCUGCAAGAAAAUCUACAAAAUGUCCUAAGAGGUAACAGUUACUAUCCCUUCACAUAGUUAUGUAUAGUAUCUGCAAUGGUACAACAUAUUUAAGGCAAAAUCAAUAUCUAUAUUGUAGAAGUGCCCAGACUUGUGUGUUUUUGUUGUUCUUUGAGAGAGUGAAGAUGGACAAGAGUAACUUGAAUUAAGAGACAAUAAAAUCUGGACUGUCUCCCACAGAAAACCAUCCUAGUAACUACAGACUUUAUUGAUGAAAUUAAAAAUUCCAAACAUGCGAAUAUAUAUCCUCCAGUUUCCUUUUUAAGAUUGUAAACAGAGAUUUAUAGAGAAUUUGUCCUUUAUAGUGUACAAGAAGGUCUUUAUCACAUCAAAGUGGUUAUGUACCAAAUGGGACAGGGCUAAAAAUCUAGGCAAUUGCAAUUCUUUUUGCACUCACCGGAGAAUUAAGUGAAAGUCUAAGAAUUCAAGUUCAACAAGGAUGCAAUUUCUUACAAAAAAAUUCAGUCUAUUGAGUUUAUUCUCUGGUGUUUCAUUUUGCUUGAACCACAGCAAUGCACCAAAUAUUUAAUAUACUUAACAGUGAAUACCAGACUUCUUUACCUGUUCUGUUCUGUAUAGUUUUCUUUUUAUCUUGUAGUCAUCACCGUUGUGUCUGAAUGCUUUCCAAUAGAGUAUUAAGUGAUGUGACCCAUGUCUGUCAUGUUUGUCCUCUCAUCCUCUCCCCAGGGGAAGAAGCAUGCAAUUGAAUGUUUUUUGGAUGUUUUUAUGCUGUCUUCCCACGUUGUUUUGUGUUUGUUAGAGAAGCAAGGUCAAAAAAGGUUGGAGAGGACUUAGUCCUUAGCUCCAAAUAAGAUUUCAUCCCAUACGCUUUGUCAUCCCCCAGCAAGAAAGCAUUCUUUCCUCUAUAAAAGUGCUCCUCCAGCCCUACAGAAAAAAGGACUAGACAGUUUCAUUUAAGGUACUGACUGUCUUCUGCAGUUUAGCUAUUUCUCCUGUUAGACACUGGUCUUUCAAAAAUAUACAUUAGCUUUCAAAGAUAGCCUUGUAUCCUUUUGCAAAACAAGAGGAAAUAAACUGUGCACAUAUUUAGAAGUACAGUAAAGUCUGCUGGAAGCUUCAGGAUAUUUGUUGUAAACUUCUAAAGCCAUGAUGACAGGAUAUGCAUGUGGGAUACCUGCAGGAGGGGCCCAAUGGUGAAGACAGCACUGUCCUAGGAUAACUUAUGUUUGCUUCAGCAUAUGAGUUACAUCCACCUUCACAAGAUCUACAGAGCAUCUAGAGAUCCAUGGUGGAUCAAACCCAUUUUCCAUGUGGUAGUGUCCCCCUUUCCAUGUGCAGAUCUUGAAAUAGUGAUGAUCUGAGCCUUUCAGUGCAGUUUUAGAGCAUGAAGAAUGAAGGUUUGGCUUUCAGAUGCACUGCUUUGGCUGCCAUUACAACUGAAAGGUUAAAAACAUAAAACUCUCUUCUUUUUUCUCCAUAAUCCCAUUUCACACAGCACAGACUUUAGCUUCAGGAGACAAAAAACAUAUACACACAUACACCCAAAGGCCCCUCCCUGCCAUGUGUUAAGGGUUGGACAUGGCCACUAUACUUAGAAAUUAGGGCUAAGAUUUGUCUCUUACUCAAGCUUUUAUAAGAGAUUUUUCACAGCAAGAUUUUUCUCUUAUAUUAAAACAACAUAUGCUCUGGUACAUCCAUCUUAGAUAAGGAAAUAACGAGGCAAUUAGUAUAUUGUUAAGUAUUUAUUGUACUACUGUUUAUCAUUUGAAAGAAGGAAUGAUAUUAUAGGAUAAUAGGUGCUAAAAUUACCCAGUUAAGUCAUGUUUUACAAGUUGUACAUUCUAAAGCGUUUAAAUGAAAACCUAUCCUGGAUGGAUACUUUUACCAUAAAACACUCCCCUGCCUCCACUUCAUUGUGUUUUCAACAGUAAGACAGUGUCAGUAUUUUGAGAAUUUUUUCCCCUCACUUUGACAAAGCAUCUCCACUAAUAUACGUGUUUCAGAAAAUAAGAGUGGAGGACUGAGAAGCUAUUUGUGCAUCACAGAAACAAAGACCAUUAUAUUUGUUACCAAGCAGAGAGACAAAACAAUCUUGUAAUUAACAAAGAGAUAAACAUGCUAGAAAUACUUAUACUUUGAGCAAUACUAUCCAUAUAGCUAGUUAUUUGUUCAGGUACAGUAUCGUCCUUCCAUAAUUUCAAAAGGGGAGAAUUUAAACCUUGGUCCCUGUUAUCAUAUACUGCUGGAAAGGGGUCCUUGUGUAUGGUGGUGGCUUUCAGUCACUAUUGAGUUCCAUUAUCUUGGGCCAGCUAAGUGUGGGGCUAGUACCCUUCCACAAGCUAGUUAAAUCUGACUGAAUCACUAAAGUAUUCCAGCACCCUGUAGUCCCAAAGAGUCAUUGAGGUAUUCCAAGGAGCUGCUUCUAGGACACUGUAGAGAUUUUCUUGCACCGAGGCUGAUCCUUCCUAUGGUUUGUUAUGCUGGCUUUGCAGCUGUUUUGUGCCUGCAAACUAACCACAGUAUGCAUGAAGACUGAAGUCCCUACAGUAUAUUUAACAGAGAAUCCUGAAAGGACCUGAUCACUGUGUGAAUUGGGCCAUUCUAACUAUGAAAAGGCAAUCAUCAGAAGCAUGUUUAUGACCCCAGAUAUAAACCAUUCUUGGCAAGGAUGAUUUAAAAGUGUUCAGAGAGAGGUGGCGCAUCACCAAUUUCAAGAAAAUAGUCUUUUCAUUUGAUGGCUUAAUUUUAACAAGGGAUUCAUGAGGAUAUCAGAUUUUUGGUGACAUAGAAAAGGGGGAGAAGGGAAAGACUUUGUAUGUCAAUAAAGUUUAGGCUUCAUCCAUGGAAUCAUUCAGGCUAGUGAAUACUGAUGUGAGCUAUUUGUGGAUUUUGAUUAAUGAGAUACCCAUGGUCAAUAGGAGCUCAGCUUCAUGAUUUAAAAGUAAUGCUGAUUUGAUAAAUAGGAGAAGGAAGGCAUUCUGAAUACAUGAAUUAAGAUUUUUGGAAGGUUGGUCUCAUCUUGUUUUGUAAGCUCUUGGAGCAAGGCACUGCCUUUCUUCUGUGUCUGUGCAGCACUUAACACAAUGGAGUUUUGUUUUAUGAUCAGGGCUCCCAGGUAUCCCUGCAUCAGAAAUAAAUAAAUAAUAUUUCUCGGAAACUUUACAUAGUGUAUUCCUUUUAUAUUCAGAACCCUAAUAGAAUAAGAGUACACCUUGACUACAACCAUGAACUGCAUAACAUCCCUAAAGUAGCUGAGCAUUAUGAAUGAGCACUAAGUGUCACAUACACUACAUUUUGUGGGCCUGCAGUGCUCAGUUUUAAUACAACUCCAUUAAAGGAAAAAAAAAAAGAUUUUUAAUGACAGAUUGUGAAACAACCUCAGGAUCUUUUUUAAAGAGAGCAAGUAAUAAUUGCCAGACAUGUUUGGCAAAUUACUUCCUCAUUCUGGAGCACCUCGCAAAAAACAAGCCUUUUUUUUUUUUGUAAUAUGCAAGUCAUACAUACCAUUGAAUCUCAUUAAGUAAAAAUCAUUUUAAAGGAUGAAAAUGUGAUUGAAUGCAUGUAUUAGGAGGAGCUCUACAAAAAUAUUGCACAAGCCUUUGUUUCAUCUGCUAUUCAGUUCUGCUGCAUCUAUUUCUGUCCCAGAAACCUGAAGGGUGUUGUGAUACCUGAAAGCUCGUCUGUGUCUAUCCCAACCAUGCAAUUAGUAAAAAAAUAUUACCCACAAGAAUUCUUGCCACUACUGAGGACUGUAAUCUUCCUGGCUUAGUGAGUCCAUAUCUACAUGAGGUUUCAUUAAGAAUGCAUAUUCUGUGUUGGUCAGGCACUGAAUCUGUAUUCUCAAUGAACCCUCAAAACAGUGAGGAGAUUGAGGGUGGGAGAAGAUGGCAUGGAGACAACUAAACUCUUCAAAUUAAUGCGAAGGACUCGCCUGAACAGCUGUCUCCCCUCUGUAUACACAUUUCAGAGGAACUAUCUGGGCCCAUUAGAAGCUAUAGAAAUUUUGGUUUCAGAGUUGCAUUAAAGUAACAUAAAACACGUUAUUCUUUGAUUUAAUAUAUUUUCUUUAUACUGUCCAAAUGUGUUAUGUUUGUGCUAAAUUUAUCUUAAAUAGGCUUUUUAUCCAAGUAGGUAUGUGUCUGUUCAGCUGCUUAACCUAUUUUUCAAAGAACCACUUUGCACUUCCCUAUAGAAUUUAAACUCCCAAAGCCUAAUUCUGUGCACAGAACUGUAAUACACUUCAGUGAAAGUUGUACAUAAGCACCCAAAGGCAGAGUUGAGCCUUAAAUAAGUAAUGUAAUGCUUGAAGUACAUGAUCCUGCUGAGCCAAAUGUACAUAUGCUAGGCAAACAAAACAAGUUGUGCCCUGUGGAUCAAAACAAAAGAAAUGUACUAAGUUAUCUUUAAAAGCAAUUGUAGCCAAAUCCUGACAGAAAAUAAAAAUAAUAAGAUUUUUUAAAUUGCACAGCCACAUAUAAAGAAAACAUGAGGAUGUUUCUUCCAAAGUAGACAACAGCUUAAUUUUUUCAACAAGAAUGGAAUACUUUCCAUUUGCCAUAAUUCAGAAGCAACAAUACUUUUUAUUUGUGGAGAAGGCAGGAGAAAGAUUGGGGAGAUCAAAUGAUUAAUUUACUUUCCUAUCUGAAAAGCAUGAGAGCAAAUUGGUCAGUUUGAGAAAACAUAACCACAUUAUGUCAUUCUUCUGGCUCCAAAAAAUGUUUUAUGCAAUGGGUUACUAGGCCUCACUUUUACUUCUUUCUGAGUAUAAUAUAUUUUAAAAACAAGAUAAGCAUACUGUAACAAGUCAAAUUAUUAGACAUUUAUGGUGUAUUACCUAUGGGCCCCAAUCACUGUGAACUGCAGCUAACCAUCAUGAAAAAUCCAAUCACAAUGGUGUUCUUAGCUCAUCGAAUUAGCAAAUAAGUAGAAUUCACAGUUUCACUCAUUUUCUUUAUAUACCUAUGAAAUAGUGGAAUACAGAAUGUUUUGGCUGAGAGGGCAAGAAUUAUAUUUCCAUGCUUAUUUGCCUUCUGGACUGGAAAGAGGUGAAGAUAAUAUAUGGGAAGAUUCACCCAUCACCAGAUUCUUCUUUCUCCUAUAGCUGGGCAAACAAGAGCCUGAGAAUGAUGUGUAACCUGUGUUGCUGGGUUUUUGGAUGCUAUACAGAAUGGACACCAUUUACACUUUAACUUCAUUUAAAGUGAAGUAGAAUUUUAAUUUACUGCAUUGUAUUAUGUAAAUUACAACCCAAAGUAUUGUGACCCUCUACUUAAAGCUGUCUUCUGAAAAGCUCCUCCUGUAAUCCCAAAUUCCUGCUCCCAGUUCAGCCCCUUUGUAGCUAAAUAGGUUUCUGCUGAACAUUGGAGAAUGGUGGGAAAAUGGUUGGACUUGGUACAGGAAGGCUAAACCCUUACAGUGCAGCAAAGUUGGGUCCUAAGGCCUUCAGAUAGAACUGUACAGAGGAGAGUGUGGGAGGUAGGGCUGGGGCACAUUCAGUUGUGGCCAAAAGAGAUCGUUAUAUUAAUCUAAACCUGACCUGUAUUUAACGGGCCAAAGAAUUUCACUCAGUUGGUAUGUAGCUCCAUCAGCCAACUCCUCACACCCUAGGGGGUAAGCAAAGCAGAGUGUAUUGGUGGCUACAAAAAUGCUUUGUUGGCAUGUUGUUAUCUAGGGACAUGUCUGAGCCCUUGAGAGAACCCCUGUACAGAGUGAUUUAUUGUCCUUGGCCUCUGUGCAGAGGAUCUGGGUCUCAAAAGGGUUCCACUGAACUGCCAAAUCAUAUAGUUGUCAUAGUAUGGACUUUGAUGUCACCUCUCAAAUGGAGGAUUUUGACAGCAUUCCCAUAAACCUUGUACACUUUAUUGGUAUGUGAACUAUCAUAGCAGAAUUCCCAGUGCAUAUUAAUAACUUCUGUUUUCAUCUUUGAAGUUCUAUAAAAAUCUUGUUUGAGCUGGUAAAGUGAUUGACAACAGCCACAAGUGCGAUUUAUCUUGGGGAAGCCAUUUAUUGAAAAACCUAAUUCU